ensembl:miRNA gga-mir-1774 gga-mir-1774
GGGAAUCUAACCCGUAAAGCAGGGGCGCCAGCAGGAGGUGCUUGUUCUCAUGUCUGCCCCUGCUGAGGUUCUGCUUCUC